rnacentral:rRNA from 1 species
UACGGAGGGGGCUAGCGUUGUUCGGAAUUACUGGGCGUAAAGCGCACGUAGGCGGCUUUGUAAGUUAGAGGUGAAAGCCCGGAGCUCAACUCCGGAAUUGCCUUUAAGACUGCAUCGCUAGAAUUGUGGAGAGGUGAGUGGAAUUCCGAGUGUAGAGGUGAAAUUCGUAGAUAUUCGGAAGAACACCAGUGGCGAAGGCGACUCACUGGACACGUAUUGACGCUGAGGUGCGAAAGCGUGGGGAGCAAACAGG